rnacentral:rRNA from 1 species
AUUGAACGCUGGCGGCAUGCUUUACACAUGCAAGUCGAACGGUAACAGGCCGCAAGGUGCUGACGAGUGGCGAACGGGUGAGUAAUGCAUCGGAACGUGCCCAGUCGUGGGGGAUAACUACUCGAAAGAGUAGCUAAUACCGCAUACGAUCUAUGGAUGAAAGCGGGGGACCGUAAGGCCUCGCGCGAUUGGAGCGGCCGCUGUCAGAUUAGGUAGUUGGUGGGGUAAAGGCUCACCAAGCCAACGAUCUGUAGCUGGUCUGAGAGGACGACCAGCCACACUGGGACUGAGACACGGCCCAGACUCCUACGGGAGGCAGCAGUGGGGAAUGUUGGACAAUGGGCGCAAGCCUGAUCCAGCAAUGCCGCGUGCAGGAAGAAGGCCUUCGGGUUGUAAACUGCUUUUGUACGGAACGAAACGGCUCUGGUUAAUACCCGGGGCUAAUGACGGUACCGUAAGAAUAAGCACCGGCUAACUACGUG